UAGAGCAGGUAGCCUAGUGGUUAGAGCAGGUAGCCUAGUGGUUAGAGCAGGUAGCCUAGUGGUUAGAGCAGGUUGCCUAGUGGUUAGAGCAGGUUGCCUAGUGGUUAGAGCAGGUAGCCUAGUGGUUAGAGCAGGUAGCCUAGUGGUUAGAGCAGGUUGACUAGUGGUUAGAGCAGGUAGCCUAGUGGUUAGAGCAGGUUGCCUAGGGGUUAGAGCAGGUAGCCUAGUGGUUAGAGCAGGUAGCCUAGUGGUUAGAGCAGGUAGCCUAGUGGUUAGAGCAGGUAGCCUAGUGGUUAGAGCAGGUAGCCUAGUGGUUAGAGCAGGUAGCCUAGUGGUUAGAGCAGGUAGCCUAGUGGUUAGAGCAGGUAGCCUAGUGGUUAGAGCAGGUAGCCUAGUGGUUAGAGCAGGUAUCCUAGUGGUUAGAGUCUAGUGGUUAGAGCAGGUAGCCUAGUGGUUAGAGCAGGUAGCCUAGUGGUUAGAGCCUAGUGGGUAGAGCAGGUAGCCUAGUGGUUAGAGACAGGUAGCCUAGUGGUUAGAGACAGGUAGCCUAGUGGUUAGAGACAGGUAGCCUAGUGGUUAGAGACAGGUAGCCUAGUGGUUAGAGACAGGUAGCCUAGUGGUUAGAGACAGGUAGCCUAGUGGUUAGAGACAGGUAGCCUAGUGGUUAGAGCAGGUAGCCUAGUGGUUGGAGUAUAGUGGUUAGAGCCUAGUGGUUAGAGCAGGUAGCCUAGUGGUUGAUCAGCUAGCCUAGUUGUUAGAACCUAGUGGUUAGAGCAGGUAGCCUAGUGGUUAGAACAGGUAGCCUAUUGGUUAGAGCAGUUAGCCUAGUGGUUAGAGCAGGUAGCCUAGUGGUUAGAGCAGGUAGCCUAGUGGUUAGAGCAGGUAGCCUAGUGGUUAG
ensembl:lncRNA